rnacentral:rRNA from 1 species
AACGAACGCUGGCGGCAGGCUUAACACAUGCAAGUCGAACGCAUCGCAAGAUGAGUGGCAGACGGGUGAGUAACGCGUGGGAACAUACCCUUUUCUACGGAAUAGCUCUGGGAAACUGGAAUUAAUACCGUAUACGCCCUACGGGGGAAAGAUUUAUCGGGGAAGGAUUGGCCCGCGUUGGAUUAGCUAGUUGGUGGGGUAAAGGCCUACCAAGGCGACGAUCCAUAGCUGGUCUGAGCGGAGGAACGGGCACAUUGGGACUGAGACACGGCCCGAACACCUACUGGAGGCAGCAGUGGGGAAUAUGGGACAAUGGGCGCAAGCCUGAUCCAGCCAUGCCGCGUGAGUAAUGAAGGCCUUAGGGUUGUAAAGCUCUUUCACCGAUGAAGAUAAUGACGGUAGUCGGAGAAGAAGCCCCGGCUAACUUCGUGCCAGCAGCCGCCGUAA